rnacentral:tRNA from 1 species
GCUGCUGUAGCUCAGUGGUAGAGCGCGUCAUUGGUAAUGACGAGGUCGGGAGUUCGAUUCUCCUCAGCAGCACCA